rnacentral:lncRNA from 1 species
UAGCUCUACACAGCGAAAAAACUGAGGACUAUUUGUAUCCGCCAUUAUGCGACUACCAUUUUUUUUCCUGCGCCAUUUUUCUAUUUAGUGUCUGUAUGCCAUUAUAACCUAGACAGUAAACGCAGAGAGUAGUUUCCCUUUACCAAAAUGGUGAAAAUUGUAAUAGAAGUUGGAAAAUUGUCUAUACCUGGACCGGGGUGGAGAUGAAGAAGACAAACAAGAUGUAAAUGUUUGGGAAGAUAACUGGGACAACGCUAACAUAGGUGAUGAUUUCUCAUCACAGCUCAGAGGUGAACUUGAAAAACAAGGAAAGGCUAUGGAUGGACAAGAACCAAUGAAAACGUUGUAUAUUAAUAGGAACCUUCUCGUCUGUCAUUCAGUCUUCUCUUCGUGUAAGACUUCCUCCCCCGUGUUAAGGUACAGGUCCAUGUUUCAGAGAAAAAAAGUUCAAACGUCAUCAAAUCAUAGAAAGAAAGCAUUGUUUUACAUGAAAAU